rnacentral:rRNA from 1 species
AUUGAACGCUGGCGGAAUGCUUUACACAUGCAAGUCGAGCGGCAGCGCGGGGCAACCUGGCGGCGAGCGGCGAACGGGUGAGUAAUACAUCGGAACGUACCCAGUUGUGGGGGAUAGCCCGGCGAAAGCCGGAUUAAUACCGCAUACGACCUGAGGGUGAAAGGGGGGGAUCGCAAGACCUCUCGCAGUUGGAGCGGCCGAUGGCGGAUUAGCUAGUGGGUAGGGUAAAGGCCUACCAAGGCGACGAUCCGUAGCGGGUCUGAGAGGACGACCCGCCACACUGGAACUGAGACACGGUCCAGACUCCUACGGGAGGCAGCAGUGGGGAAUUUUGGACAAUGGGGGCAACCCUGAUCCAGCCAUUCCGCGUGAGUGAAGAAGGCCUUCGGGUUGUAAAGCUCUUUCGGCAGGAACGAAACGGUGGGCUCUAACAUAGCCUGCUAAUGACGGUACCUGAAGAAGAAGCACCGGCUAACUACGUGCCAGCAGCCGCAGUAAGAC